GUGUAUUUGAUAAUGGUUUCUGGUUCUCUCUGGUAAAUUGCAGAUACCCAGAGGGUAAUGGUCUCUGAGAGGGACUUCUUCAGCCUUUAAGGACCUUUACACCACUCAACUAUUGAUUGCAACAAUGAACAUCACCGUCGAU